rnacentral:rRNA from 1 species
ACACGACUACAUUAGAUACCCGUGUAGUCCUAGCCGUAAACGAUACUCGCUAGGUGUCGGCCACGGUGCGACCGUUGUCGGUGCCGUAGGGAAGCCGUGAAGCGAGCCACCUGGGAAGUACGGCCGCAAGGCUGAAACUUAAAGGAAUUGGCGGGGGAGCACCUCAACGGGUGGAGCUUGCGGUUUAAUUGGAUUCAACGCCGGAAAUCUUACCGGGACCGACAGCAACAUGAAGGCCAGGCUGAAGACUUUGCCGGAUUAGCUG